CGAGUCUCUCUGAAGGGUUGUCCCUGACCGACACAAACACAGCGAGUUAGAACCGGAACCGGCUCCGGGUCCGACCCGAUCUGAGCCGACGGGACCAGAACCUGCACAGGCGCUUGAUGAGGUGAAUCACUCACCUGUCCCUCAGCAGCGACCACAGUUCUCCUCCAAGACAAACCUCCAGCAGCAUGUAGAGAUACUUGGAGUCCCUGAAAGUCCGAUACAACCUGCAGGGAAACCAACAGAAUCUGUUAAACGAGCCUGUUCUCCAAACCAGUCUCCUUUGGAAAGAGUCUUCACAGCCGCCUCUUCAUCGUUUGCAGAGAUCUGCUGAGAGACUUUCACCUGUGGACAUCGAAUACACUCAGGAAGUAGAAUCACCUCCUCCAGAGCGUCGGCCAGUUUACUGAGAACGUCUUCAGCCAGAGACUGGAAGGAUGGAACACUGAGGAGAGUUUACAGAAAAACGUGAGUUAUUGUCAUGAGGUCAGAGCUGUUUUGUCACUGAAUUAAAAAAACAAACAAUUUAAUGUUAUUUCACUUCAUUGUUUAAAUGACACAUAACUGUUCAGUCACAGAAAAAAGGUAUUAAUUUACAUAUUAACUGCAUUUUGACAAAUCUGGUUGGUUAUAAGAUUACACUAUUUUCUUCCUAUAUUUUAAUCAGCAAAAAUGAUUUUUA